UACGUAGGGGGCAAGCGUUGUCCGGAAUCAUUGGGCGUAAAGAGCGUGUAGGCGCCAGAAAAGUCCGCUGUGAAAACUCGAGGCUCAACUUCGAGCUGUCGGUGGAAACUUUCUGGCUAGAGUCCGGAAGAGGAGAAUGGAAUUCCUGGUGUAGCGGUGAAAUGCGUAGAUAUACGGAGGAACACCUGCGGCGAAGGCGGGUAGCUGGGCCAACACUGACGCUGAUGCGCGAAAGCUAGGGGAGCAAACGGG
rnacentral:rRNA from 1 species